rnacentral:lncRNA from 1 species
AACAAUUAAAUUAGCCAACAUGUGACAAUUCUAGGCCAAGUGGCCGGUCAAGAAAAGAAAAGAAGAGAAGGAGUAGAUAAGGAUAAGGAAGAAAAGAAAAUAUAAGAAAAAGUAGAAAGAAAAAGAGCAAGAAAGAAAAAAAAGAAAAGAGAGAGAAAGAGAAGAACGGCAAAAAAACCGUGAGAGAGAGAGAGAGGAGAAGAGGCCGAAGCCAUGGAUGGAAAGAAGAAGGAGAGGCUUCAGCAGCCCCUUAUAUGGGUAGGAGAGAAGAGGAUCUCCAUUGAAGAUGGAAGAGAAGAAGAAGAAGAAGGUAAAAUNNNNNNNNNNNNNNNNNNNNNNNNNNNNNNNNNNNNNNNNNNNNNNNNNNNNNNNNNNNNNNNNNNNNNNNNNNNNNNNNNNNNNNNNNNNNNNNNNNNNCUUUAUCUUUUGUAAUUGAUGAUUUGGGUUUUUUGAUUUGGGAGUUAAAACCCUAAGAUAUAUGUGAUUUAUAUAGAUUCAUGUAUGGAUUUAGCUAUUUUGGGUGUUGAUUUGGUUUGAAACCAAAAGAAGAGAAAAAUAAAUUUUUUCUAGUUUAGAAACUCAAAAUUUCUAUAUACUUUGAAAUUUCACCGUUUUAAAUCUAUGACUUCUUUUUGCCAUCCGUCAAAAAGGGAUGUUAGAUAUAUGUGUUAAGUAGUUAACCCAAGUGGUAGUACUCAAAAAUGUUGAGUUUACAUGGGGUAGUGACUGAUUUGGUGAAAACAGUUCCGUUUUUUUAUAACCAAAAAUGGACAGUUUCGGGGCAGCCAAUGUCAGGGGCAAUUUCGUCCAGUUUUUUUGCUUUAAAAAUUCUGGGCUUUUGGUAUGUUGUAGUACUCUGUUUUAGCUUUCCAUAGACUCCGGAACGGACUAAUUCCGACUCCGGAUGAGGUAGUUAUGGCGUUCGGAAGGUGCGUAGCAAAACUGUUCCUCAAUUUCCGAACAGCCUUCUUGAUGUAAAUUUUUGGACUGUUGUGUUCUGAUUUUGGAAAAAUGUCGUGAGACAAAAGUUGUAGCCCUGGAAGUUAUCUUCGCGUGGGCUCAAGAAUCGCUCAAAAAUGUUUUAAAACGCGAGAGUUAUGGCUGUUUUAGUGAGGCUGGGUAAAAUUUUCAAAAAAAAUCAAAAGUGUCCAAAAAUAGGAAAAAUGCGAUGUAUGAAGUGAGACCCGUGAGCAUGGCGUAUGCAAGUUUGUAAUGAAGUUUUGGGUCGGGUUUAAGGUGUUGUGAUGUUUAUGACAUUUUAAAAUGUUUAAACAAGUUUAUUAAUUACGGGAAGGAAAACAAUUGAAAUAAUUGUUUAUUUAAGUGAUUAAUGACAUAAAUUAUUCUUAUGUGACUAAUAAUAUGGUAUUAAGAUAUUAUUAGUAGUAUGUGACUGAAAUGUUAUUAAAAGGUUAGUAACCUUAGUGUAAAUGUUAUUACAUAAUUAAUAAUAUUUGACGGGAGAUUUAAUAAGAGAUUUAUGAUAUUUUGAGGUUUUCGGUGCUCAAAAUGAAGUUUUUGAGCUGAGAUUUACGUAACGAAGCAAAAAUGCGAAUAAUCGUAAAAUGAAAAAUAAAGCGAAUGUGCUAGUGAGAUAAAAUGUUUAUAUAUGAGGCAAUAGUCAAUGUUGACUCAUGAACGGACAAACUGAAGUAAAAGUUAUUUAAAGUGAAGAAAUAAUAUAGUAAAUUGAUUUUUACUAUAAAAGCUAUACAUUAGCUGUUUAAACUCCGAAUUUGCGAGUAGAGGUAAAAGAUAUUUCUAAAAUGAAAUUUAAAUGGUUUAAGUUUCAAGGUGUAAAAUAUUUGCAUCUUAAAAUGUGUGAGACCUUUAUUAUUUAUGAAACAAGUAAAAUAUUAUUACAUGAUUAAUAAUAUUAGAAGGUGAUUACAAUAUUAUUAAAUGAUUAAUAAUAUUAGUAAAGGAUUUAAAUAUUAUUAAAUGAUUAAUAAUAUUUGUAAAUGAUAAAUAUUCUAUAAAAAGAAUAUUAGGCAAAAGUUUAAGAUAAUGGAUAAGUGAUAGUAAUAUUAUUAAGGGAUAAUAAUAUUACUAAUGAGUUAAAGAAUUAUUUAAUGUUUAAUUAUGUGGCUAAAUGUUAGCUAAUUUAUUAUUUGAGUAAUAGUGUUGUGGGAUAAAAUGUAUUAUGCUAAUUGGAGGAUCGAUCUUAUUAAUGAUAGGUCUUUUAUAAGAGAUUAAAUUGAUUGCUUAGCGGUAAUCAACGGUACAGGCAAGUUCCUAAACUUGAACUUCUAAUUAUUGUGCAAGUUUCCUAACUCAACUUGAGUUGUUAAUUCAAAGCAUGUUAGUGGUUAAUUAUUGUUGAUUAUACCACGUCAAUAAAUUAUUGAUUCGCACAUUGUGCAUGUUGUAUAUGUUCAUCAGGUAUGAAAGGCUGAUCACCUUCAUUACCAUAUGUUUCAGUUAAACUUGUUCAUGUUAAUUGUUGACAUCCAUUAUUAUUGGUUCAGUCAUUCAAUCGUUGAAAAAUUGAUUCAUGUUAUUUCACAAUUAUUAUAUUGUUGAAAACUUGAAAGCUUAUCCAUUCUUUUCAAUCAUGAUAUAUCUCCUUUGUAUGUAAAACUUGCUGGGCAAAUUUGUUGCUCACCCUUGCUAUAUCAUGAUAAAAUUUUCAGAUUAAGAUGAAGGCUUGAAUAAGGACAGAGGCAAAGACAAAGUGCAAAGUUUCUUUAUGUUGUAGUUAAAUUUAUUAAAUUUUCUGAUGAAAAUAGUAUUGUAAAUCUUCUAAGAUAUUGAAGGUAUGUAUUAAGUUAAGGUUGUAGACCUUGGGGAAUGAUGUGUAAAG